rnacentral:misc_RNA from 1 species
AAGACUUAAGAUGCCAUGUCCAUCUGCUGAAUACAACAUGUUCAUGUUACUAUAGAGUGAAAGGCUGCUUGUGGAGUUUCAUCUGAUGCAAGGAACAAAGGGGACACCUGCAAUACAUGUCAUGCCUGCAGUAGGUAGAAAGUGCAGAGACUCACUUGAGGGUGGCACCACAGCACAGAACAGCACAGCUACAUCUACAUUCCAUUCCAUCCCUCUUUCAACUGCAGCCAUGAUUCCAGCGACGCCUGCUGCUCCCAAGACCCGUUUCAGUAAAGGUGGCACGUGUGGCGAUGAAUUGCAGCUUAUCAUUAAAAACGGCGCGGGAGCGAAGCGGAUCGCUCAAGACUUCAACGUGGCGGACACCUCCCUAAGUCCUGUUGGGCCCUUUAGCCCUCCAGUGGAUGAUGGGCCAGUUUUUGGGCCAUCCCUUUCUCAGAGUCGGCUCGUUCCUUUUGGC